GUAAUGAUGUUUUUGUUUAUUCACCAAGUGAUCCUGGUGGAUUAGGAAAUUCAAGGUCAUGGUUUACAUAUGAAGAACUACUCAAGGCAACAAAUGGAUUUUCAUCCCAAAAUCUUUUGGGGGAGGGUGGGUUUGGUUCUGUAUACAAAGGCUGCCUACCUGAUGGAAGGGAGGUGGCAGUAAAACAGCUUAAAGUUGGUGGAGGACAGGGUGAACGAGAAUUUAAGGCAGAGGUUGAGAUUAUUAGUCGAAUACACCAUCGCCAUUUGGUUUCACUUGUGGGUUACUGCAUCUCUGAGAACCGAAGAUUGCUUGUAUAUGACUACGUGCCUAACAAUACCCUUCAUUUCCAUCUUCAUGGGGAAGGUAGGCCAGUUCUGGAUUGGGCAACACGUGUUAAGAUUGCUGUUGGUGCAGCUCGUGGGAUAGCUUAUCUCCAUGAAGACUGUCAUCCUCGGGUAAUACACAGGGAUAUUAAGUCAUCGAACAUACUUUUGGAUAACAAUUUUGAAGCCAAGGUUUCAGACUUUGGGCUUGCAAAGUUAGCUCUUGAUGCAAAUACACAUGUGACCACACGUGUUAUGGGCACCUUCGGAUACAUGGCCCCUGAAUAUGCAUCAAGCGGCAAAUUAACUGAGAAAUCUGAUGUAUUCUCAUAUGGAGUUGUUCUUUUGGAGCUAAUCACUGGACGGAAGCCUGUGGAUGCAUCCCAACCCUUGGGAGAUGAGAGUCUUGUUGAAUGGGC
rnacentral:misc_RNA from 1 species